UGGGCUGUAGCUCAGAGGCAGAGUGCUUGCCUAGAAUGUGUGAGGCUCUGAGUUCAGUCCUCAGCACCACAU
rfam:Ictidomys tridecemlineatus contig071184, whole genome shotgun sequence.